rfam:Neotoma lepida isolate 417 scaffold_4363, whole genome shotgun sequence.
UGGAGCCAACAUUGAGGCUCAAGAACAAGAACGUGGAGGAUCGGUGAACGUUGCACACCAAGGUAGGCCUGCCUAACCGAUGAGAAUGCUCAGAGAGUGAAGGUCCAGUCAAGUGAUUGCCACGGGAAUGCCCAACCGUGAGACAGAUCUGGAGAGUUGAUUUGUGCCGAUGCAAGGUAAGUUUACCAUGGGACAAGCAUUUAGUUAGCAGGAUUUAUUUAUCUCAGGACUUAAACAGUCUCUCAAGACAUGAGGAACAAGGGUAAAAAAGAAAGAUUUAAAAAAGUUUCUUGAUUAUAUUGGGGACUUUUGUCCCU